AUUGAACGCUGGCGGCAGGCCUAACACAUGCAAGUCGAGCGGUAGCACAGAGAGCUUGCUCUCGGGUGACGAGCGGCGGACGGGUGAGUAAUGUCUGGGAAACUGCCUGAUGGAGGGGGAUAACUACUGGAAACGGUAGCUAAUACCGCAUAACGUCGCAAGACCAAAGUGGGGGACCUUCGGGCCUCAUGCCAUCAGAUGUGCCCAGAUGGGAUUAGCUAGUAGGUGGGGUAACGGCUCACCUAGGCGACGAUCCCUAGCUGGUCUGAGAGGAUGACCAGCCACACUGGAACUGAGACACGGUCCAGACUCCUACGGGAGGCAGCAGUGGGGAAUAUUGCACAAUGGGCGCAAGCCUGAUGCAGCCAUGCCGCGUGUAUGAAGAAGGCCUUCGGGUUGUAAAGUACUUUCAGCGGGGAGGAAGGGGUUAAGGUUAAUAACCUUAGCCAUUGACGUUACCCGCAGAAGAAGCACCGGCUAACUCCGUGCCAGCAGCCGCGGUAAUACGGAGGGUGCAAGCGUUAAUCGGAAUUACUGGGCGUAAAGCGCACGCAGGCGGUCUGUCAAGUCGGAUGUGAAAUCCCCGGGCUCAACCUGGGAACUGCAUUCGAAACUGGCAGGCUUGAGUCUCGUAGAGGGGGGUAGAAUUCCAGGUGUAGCGGUGAAAUGCGUAGAGAUCUGGAGGAAUACCGGUGGCGAAGGCGGCCCCCUGGACGAAGACUGACGCUCAGGUGCGAAAGCGUGGGGAGCAAACAGGAUUAGAUACCCUGGUAGUCCACGCCGUAAACGAUGUCUAUUUGGAGGUUGUGCCCUUGAGGCGUGGCUUCCGGAGCUAACGCGUUAAAUAGACCGCCUGGGGAGUACGGCCGCAAGGUUAAAACUCAAAUGAAUUGACGGGGGCCCGCACAAGCGGUGGAGCAUGUGGUUUAAUUCGAUGCAACGCGAAGAACCUUACCUGGUCUUGACAUCUACAGAACUUGGCAGAGAUGCCUUGGUGCCUUCGGGAACUGUGAGACAGGUGCUGCAUGGCUGUCGUCAGCUCGUGUUGUGAAAUGUUGGGUUAAGUCCCGCAACGAGCGCAACCCUUAUCCUUUGUUGCCAGCGGUUAGGCCGGGAACUCAAAGGAGACUGCCAGUGAUAAACUGGAGGAAGGUGGGGAUGACGUCAAGUCAUCAUGGCCCUUACGACCAGGGCUACACACGUGCUACAAUGGCAUAUACAAAGAGAAGCGACCUCGCGAGAGCAAGCGGACCUCAUAAAGUAUGUCGUAGUCCGGAUUGGAGUCUGCAACUCGACUCCAUGAAGUCGGAAUCGCUAGUAAUCGUGGAUCAGAAUGCCACGGUGAAUACGUUCCCGGGCCUUGUACACACCGCCCGUCACACCAUGGGAGUGGGUUGCAAAAGAAGUAGGUAGCUUAACCUUCGGGAGGGCGCUUACCACUUUGUGAUUCAUGACUGGGGUGA
rnacentral:rRNA from 1 species